rnacentral:misc_RNA from 1 species
AAGUCGUAACAAGGUUUCCGUAGGUGAACCUGCGGAAGGAUCAUUAUUGAAUAAAUCUGACAUGGUUGUAGCUGGCUCUUCGGGGCAUGUGCUCGCCUGUCACCUUUAUCUUUCCACCUGUGCACACACUGUAGUCCUGGAUACCUCUCGCCGCAAGGCGGAUGCAGAGACUGCUGUUCAGCCUCUGAAAGGGGGAGGUCGGCUAUCUCUGAAUUUCCAGGUCUACGAUUAUCACAUACCCCAAUCGAAUGUUACAGAAUGUUAUCAAAGGGCCUUGUGCCUAUAAACCUAUACAACUUUCAGCAACGGAUCUCUUGGCUCUC